UCCCUGAUGGUCCAGUGGCUAAGACUGCACUCCCAAUGCAAAGGGCCUGGGUUAAAUCCCUGGUUGGGGAG
rnacentral:tRNA from 1 species